UGACGUGAUGGUGCACAAAUUGCAAGACUGAUGUCAGACGAGGAGCAAAUGAUCACGUAUUUCAACAAGAAGUGAUGAGAAGAUGCUCCAGUUUGUGUACAGAUGCAUUUUAUUUUUGGUAACAAUAAAAUCAGUUGUGUAGCAUCUGAGACCUGCCGCGACGAGGUGAAGAUGGAUUGGCAUGAACCGGAUGAGCAGAUGUGACCGAUUCGAUCGCGGGUUCUCAGAUAUCAAACGUUUGUCUGGGAGUCAAAAGUCGUCCACACAAGGUGUCACGUUUCAACUGUGACUGCAGGUUAUAAAUAUGCAGAUUGAUAAGAAAUGUGUUUCUUCGCUGAUCCCAAACAGCCAAUAUUGAAUUUGUUUAGAUUAUUUUCCUCCAUUAUGAAGCUGCAAGGUGCAUAUUUACAUUACCUCAGAGAGUAGACCUACAAUAAAUUACUGAAGCUGAAUCAGUUUUGAUAGAAAUCUACACUCUGACCUGAACCAUCUCACUCCUCCUGCCUAAACCUCACCAACCAUGCAGGUCACAGAAUCUGAUGGGUCAACAUAUACGGUGUAUCAGCAAGCUGCAGGUGGAGUUAGACCAUCACUGUGAUGGUGCCUCACUUGUAAACCUACAUAUAACUCUGUAAUUUAUAGAAAAGGAUCUCACUGUUUUGACGUUUUUGCAAAGAAAUAUGUCCAAGAGAUCUGGUAAAAGCAGUUAUAUGUUGAAAAUAUAGUCAUCAUGAGCCAUUAAAACAGGUUAUAAUCUACUAGAUUUAACUUUUCAGCUAAAUUUCAUCACUAGUCCAGUUUUUACUGAGCUGUUCUGUUAUCUGCUGCUCCAACAACAAACUGACACUCAGUCACAAGCUUCUGCUCCAUGAAAUCAGUUUUACUUUCAUGAAUCUCCAUUAAAUCCUCGUGUUUCAGUUUCAGUCUGACCGAUCAGGUACGCUGAGUGAUCUGCCUACACGAGGCUGAUGGUUGGACCUCAGGUCCAUGGUCACCUUGUGUUUGGAGCCCAGCAGAGCCUGCAGCAUGGAGUCAGCGGACAUACGCACCUUCUUCAGAGCAGCCAUGUUGGUGACUUCCUACAUUUCCCACAAUGCCUUUCAACCAGAAGCCAUCAGAUAGAUGGUAUAAACUUGUAUAAACUAUUAAGUAAAAGCAGCUGUAGUUACAAUAACUAGCUAACAAGUAGAAAUUUGACUCCC